UACGUAGGGGGCAAGCGUUGUCCGGAAUCAUUGGGCGUAAAGAGCGUGUAGGCGGUCCGGUAAGUCGGCUGUGAAAGUCCAGGGCUCAACCCUGGGAUGCCGGUCGAUACUGCCGGACUAGAGUUCGGAAGAGGCGAGUGGAAUUCCCGGUGUAGCGGUGAAAUGCGCAGAUAUCGGGAGGAACACCUAUGGCGAAGGCAGCUCGCUGGGACGUUACUGACGCUGAGACGCGAAAGCGUGGGGAACAAACAGG
rnacentral:rRNA from 1 species